rnacentral:lncRNA from 1 species
AAAUGUCAUGUUGUGGUUCGGCUACUAUGUAAAAAUAAUGGAUUUAUAUAUUUAAUAUACAAUAUAGUAGACAACAUAGUGAAAGCCAUAUUAGUAGAUUUUUAUUGGCUAUAGGAUAUAGAUAAAUUACUAGCUCAAAAAGAAGUUUUUUAAAAGGGCUUCUAUUAGAAUUUAUAUAACUUUAUUUUCUUUUGAUAUUAACUUUGAAGUUGAUCUUAUUAUUAGUAACUUUUAAAUAUUUAGAAUCACC